AGCACAGCCAGACACAGAAGGCCUCGCGUCCGCGCCGAGCGGCCACGCUUGGGUGGUACAGUGACCCGGGUGGGGGUGCGGGGAGGGGACAAAGCAGGCCGGGUUCUGCUCACGCGGCCUGGUCAGUAGGAGCAGUGUGAAUCUGCCCGGGCAACCGGCCGGACGUCCGUCACGCAGAGAGAGAGCUGUGCACCGCGGUCCGGGGAAGAAGGCUGUGGCUUCCCCGUCACCCUCUGGGCUCCCAUCUCCUCAGGACAUCUGCCGAACGAACGGGACAGGGCCUUCUGGGCCCUGGCCGCUGCCUGCUCGGUUGUCACAAAGAAGGUCGGCUUGGCAGAAGCGAUUGCUGACGACUGGCGAGAGCGGUCCCGGAGCCUCCUCUGGACUAGCCCCUCGCCCGAGGGAGCCCUCCCCGAGGUGACCGCAGGCUGGUCACUGAGGCCGUCCCAGUAUCAGCCUCCUCAUCUGGAGAAUGGGGAUGACCCCCACCUCUCGAAUCAAGUGACACGUGGACGAACCAGAAAUUGAAAUCCACACACCCCGCGUGCAUGCACCCCACUGUCAGAGGGACCCUGGGCCAGCCGCCAUGCCACUCGCUGCCUCAGUUUCCUUCUCGGAAAUGGGUGGAGAUCCAGGCUUCUCUCCUCACGCUUCUGGAGGCUGGGAGUCUGAGAUCCAGGCUGGUUCCCCAGAGGCCUCUCUGCCUGGCGUGUUGACGGCCAUCACUCCCCGUGUCCUCACAUGGCCGGCCCUCUGCAUGUCUGUGUCCUACUCUCCUUACAAGGACAUUUGUUGCACUGGAUCGGGACUCACCCACGUGACCUCAUUAUCACCUCCGUAAAGUCCCCAUCUCCAAACACGGUCACGUUCUGAGAUGCUGGGGGUGAGGGCUUCGCAUAUGGGUUUGCGGGGACACGGUUCGGCCAUGACACCUUGGGUGGCUGUUACUUCGGGGAAGGAGGGCGUAAAAGCCGAGAUCCGAAGCACCGUGGCCACAAGACCCGGGACUUCAGAGUCCUUCUUGCGGAGCUCCCCUCCUCCACUCGCCCUGCCCGGCAGCCGGCCCCCUCCUGCACGGGUCCCCACGGAGGGCCUGCACCCUGCGCGGAGUGACGGGCUGAGCAUGUGCGACCGCAGCCUCCUUGGGCAGUUCUGGAGUUCGUGCUCACAAACCGUCAUCCCGCGUCCUGUCAUCCACGUGAUAUUCUCCACGGGAAUAGACCCGCCUGCCUCAAAGGCUUCAGUUACUGCAACUGGCAAGCGAGCAUCUCUGGAAACAACAUUUGUUCGCUCCGUAGGACUGGAGGAGAGCUGCGGCUUGCGCUUUUCUCCUUGGGAUGAUUUUUAAAGAAUUUCAACUGCAAUGAUGUUGCAAGAGGAAAAACGUGUUUUUCACCGGCUCUUGAGCUCUGUCUGGUCCUAGGGCUCCAGCAUCAGUUUUGAGGCUGUCCACAGGGUAUGCCUGCUGGAGAUGGGACUCCAUCCGUCCUUGGGGUGAAGGACGCGUCCACCCCUCUGCUCACCCCUCCCUCCACCCAGCACCUCAUGGGCGGGGCCCUGUGAGGGGCUCAACAAGAACCCCCUCCCUGGUCCAGAGGGAGGCAGCCCCACCCAGGGGCGGCUAACCAGAGGUUGCAGCCAGCAUUG